rnacentral:rRNA from 1 species
ACGACAGUGCGAUAGGGGGACUCCGAGUGCGAGGGCAUAUAGCCCUCGCUUUUCUGCACCGUAAGGUGGUGCAGGAACAAGUGCUGGGCAAGACCGGUGCCAGCCGCCGCGGUAAUACCGGCAGCACGAGUGAUGGCCGAUAUUAUUGGGCCUSCGCAAAGCGUCCGUAGCUUGCUGUGUAAGUCCAUUGGGSCGCAAAUCGACGCGCUCAACGCGUCGGUGUCCGGUGGSCGCAAACUACACGGCUUGGGGCCGAGAGACUCGACGGGUACGUCCGGGGUAGGAGUGSCGCAAAUCCUGUAAUCCUGGACGGACCACCAAUGGGGSCGCAAACCACGUCGAGAGACCGGACCCGACAGUGAGGGACGSCGCAAAGCCAGGGUCUCGAACCGGAUUAGAUACCCGGGUAGUCCUGGCUGUSCGCAAACAAUGCUCGCUAGGUAUGUCACGCGCCAUGAGCACGUGAUGUGCCGCAGUGAAGACGCUAAGCGAGCCGCCUGGGAAGUACGUCCGCAA